rnacentral:rRNA from 1 species
AUUGAACGCUGGCGGCAGGCCUAACACAUGCAAGUCGAACGAGUGGCGGACGGGUGUGUAAUAUCUGGGAAACUGCCCGAUGGAGGGGGAUAACUACUGGAAACGGUAGCUAAUACCGCAUAACAGCGUGUGUGCCUAUAUGGGAUUAGCUAGUAGGUGGGGUAACGGCUCACCUAGGCGACGAUCCCUAGCUGGUCUGAGAGGAUGAACAGCCACACUGGAACUGAGACACGGUCCAGACUCCUACGGGAGGCAGCAGUGGGGAAUAUUGCACAAUGGGCGCAAGCCUGAUGCAGCCAUGCCGCGUGUAUGAAGAAGGCCUUCGGGUUGUAAAGUACUUUCAGCGAGGAGGCGUCACUCGCAGAAGAAGCACCGGCUAACUCCGUGCCAGCAGCCGCGGUAAUUC